GACGAACGCUGGCGGCGUGCUUAACACAUGCAAGUCGAGCGAGAAAGCUCUUCGGAGUGAGUACAGCGGCGAACGGGUGAGUAACACGUGGGCAACCUGCCCUAGGGAGCGGGACAACCCGGGGAAACUCGGGCUAAUACCGCAUGUCCCCCUUGGUCAUAAGACUUUGGGGAAAAUGGUAGCUUCGGCCUCCGCCCUUGGAUGGGCCCGCGGCGCAUUAGCUCGUUGGUGGGGUAACGGCCUACCAAGGCAACGAUGCGUAGCUGGUCUGAGAGGACGAUCAGCCACACUGGGACUGAGACACGGCCCAGACUCCUACGGGAGGCAGCAGUGGGGAAUCUUGCGCAAUGGGCGAAAGCCUGACGCAGCAACGCCGCGUGCGGGAAGACGGCCUUAGGGUUGUAAACCGCUUUCAGGGGGGACGAAGCUUCCGAGGUUAAUAGCCUACGGGGUGACGGUACCCCCAGAAGAAGCCCCGGCUAACUACGUGCCAGCCGCCGCCGUAAAAC
rnacentral:rRNA from 1 species